UUUGAAUUAUUUUCUCGCGUCAUUCGCAGCUGCUGGUUCGCGCUCGCAGAAGCUUGAAGCUCUCUUGCUCCCUCUCUCUCCUUCUCUCUCUUCGUCCUUCUCUCUCUCUCUCUCUCUCUCUCUUAUCAGUUCAAACCCUAGAAAUUGGGGACUUUUCCAAUAUCAAAGGAUUUGUAGCAAAGCAACAGCAAGCCCAAAGAGCAAAAUCUGAAGCUUUCGAUUUUAAUGGAGGUUAAGGUGCUUUCAUUUGCCGCUGAGAACCCUCCUCUCCUGGUGCUCGUGGUGGCCAAGCUCGCUGGCAUUUCUCUCUCUAACGACAAAUCUCUACUUGCUGAUUGUCCUCAUCUCUUGCACUUCUCCAAUGGGUUGAAAUUGUAUGGAAAUUUUGUGCUUCUUCGAUAUAUCGGUCCAAUUGCUAACUUGUAUGGUGAGAAUGCAAUUCAAGCUGCCCAGAUUGAUGAGUGGCAUGAGUGAGCACCUGUGCUUUCACAGGGUUCUGCAUUUGAGAAUGCAUGCAAAUAUUUGGAUGACUAUUUGGGAAGCCGUAGUUUUUUCGUUGAUUACUCUUUUUCCAUUGCCGAUAUAUUAAUCUGGUCAAGUCUAUUAGGUAUGGCGCAAAGAUGGGAAAGUUUGAGGAAGUCGAAAAAGUACUGCAACCUUUCUCGGUGGUUCAAUUCACUAUUAGCGGAAUACGGGGGGUGCCCUGAAUGAAGUCAUCGUUACCUUCGUUGGCAAGAGAGGCUUGGGAAAGCCAGCAACAACAAAAUCGAAAGGCACUCAAGCCAAUCAGGAAUCAAUGAGUGUAAAUGGAGAUGUGUCUGAGAAAGGUAAAGCAGGAAACAGACCAACAUUAGAAGUAGACCUUCCAGAAGCUGAGGUUGGAAAGGUUUGACUGAGAUUUGCGCCAGAACCCAGUGGAUUUCUUCACAUUGGGCACUCAAAAGCAGCCUUGUUGAAUCAGUAUUUUGCUCAAAGGUAUCAGGGUCAGCUUAUUGUGCGAUUUGAUGAUACAAAUCCUGCUAAAGAAAGCAAUGAGUUCGUGGACAAUCUUCUCAAGGAUAUUGAGACUUUGGGUAUCAAGUAUGAAACGGUUACCUAUACUUCAGAUUACUUCCCUCAGUUGAUAGAAAUGGCUGAGAAUUUGAUUUGCCAGGGUAAGGCAUAUGUUGAUGACACACCAUGUGAGGAGAUGCAGAAGGAAAGGAUGGAUGGCAUUGAAUCCAAAUGUAGAAACAACAAUGUAGAGGAGAAUCUAAAACUAUGGAAGGAAAUGAUUGCUGGUUCUGAUAGGGGUCUGCAGUGUUGUGUCCGUGGGGAGCUGGAUUGCAGGAUCCAAAUAAAUCUCUUCGUGAUCCAGUUUAUUAUCGUUGCAAUCCAAUGCCACAUCAUAGGAUCGGAUCCAAGUACAAGAUAUACCCGACUUAUGAUUUUGCUUGCCCAUUUGUUGAUUCUAUAGAAGGUAUUACUCAUGCACUCCGAUCUAGUGAGUAUCACGACCGCAAUCCUCAGUACCAGCGAGUUCAAGAGGAUAUGGGACUGCGAAAAGUGCACAUCUAUGAAUUCAGUAGGUUGAACAUGGUUUAUACAGUUCUCAGCAAGCGCAAGCUUUUGUGGUUCGUUCAAAAUAAGAAGGUUAAUGGAUGGGAUGAUCCUCGUUUUCCAACUGUUCAAGGAAUUGUGCCCAGAGGUCUUAAAGUUGAAGCUUUAAUACAAUUCAUUCUUGAGCAGGGAGUUUCAAAGAAUCUGAAUCUCAUGGAAUGGGACAAACUUUGGACAAUUAAUAAGAAGAUAAUUGAUCCAGUAUGCCCAAGACACAUCGCCGUUAUUGAAGAGCGGCGGGUGUUGUUGACGCUGACCAAUGGGCCUGAGAAGUCAUUCGUUCGCAUCAUUCCGAGGCACAAGAAGUACGAAGGUGCUGGGGCGAAGGCAGUACACAAGGACAAUAUGGCUAGACUUUGUUGAUGCAGAGUCCAUCAAGGUAGAUGAGGAAGUGACCUUGAUGGACUGGGGGAAUGCCAUUGUCAAAGGGAUUGAGAAAGAUGAAGAUGGAAACCUCAAACUCAUAGAGGUUUUGAAUCUUGAGGGGUCCUUCAAGACGACGAAAUUGAAGCUUACAUGGCUACCUCAAAUAGAUGAACUACAUAAGCUCUCACUGAUGGAGUUCAAUUAUUUGAUAACAAAGAAAAAGCUUGAAGGAGAGGAUUUCCUUGAUGUGCUUAACGCAUGUACAGAAAAGCAGACUGCGGCCUUGGGUGAUUGCAACAUGCGAAAUCUCAAGCGAGGAGAUAUAUUGCAGCUUGAGAGGAAAGGAUAUUUCCGAUGUGAUGUUCGCUACAUCAGGCCUUCAAAGCCUAUAGUUCUCUUUGCAAUCCCCGAUGGCAGGCAGCAUACUGGCUUUAAUCGAUAAGGAAGAGUUCAAAGAAAUUCAACUCAUGGAAGGAGAGGGAUUUGACUACCGAGCAGAAAAGCUACGAGAUCGGAGCAACCGGUCAGCUAAUUGGAGAUCAUGGCUUUUGAGGAGAACUAGGAAAUCAGUUUACUUCUACUUGUUACUAUUAGGUCCAAACAUUAGAGUUUUGUAAAGAGAAAUGAGACGUCUAUUUUACUUAUGGAGCCUUAUGUUUUUACAUUAACGUAUUACACUUGAUAUUAUUUUUAACAUUGUUGGUAUUAUAAAAUGAAAUUUUCGUACA